rnacentral:rRNA from 1 species
UAAACUACGAUUAGAUACCCUAUUAUUUUAAAUGUGAAUUUUUAGGCCUAGGUAGUAUUAGUUAUGUUCUUGAAACUUAAAGAAUUUGGCGGUGCUUUAAUCCUUUCAGAGGAACCUGCCCCAUAAUCGAUAUCCCACGUUUUAUCUUACUUAGUUUGGUUAAGCUUGUAUACCGCCGUCGUCGGAAUGUCCUUGCAGGGUGUUAAUUUUCUGGAAUUUAAUGUAAAAGAGAUGUCAGGUCAAGGUGCAGUUAAUGAUUAAGAGGAGGUGGGUUACAUUGGGUGAAUUUAAACGGAUUAUGACUUGAAAAAGAUUAGUUGUUUGAAGGUGGAUUUGAUGGUAAAGUUGGGUAUAUAGUUGGUUUGAUUAAUGGCUCUAAAGCAUGCACACAUCGCCCGUCGCUCUUA